rnacentral:rRNA from 1 species
GAUGAACGCUGGCGGCGUGCUUAAUACAUGCAAGUCGAACGGACAGACGCUGCUCUUGCUGGUCUCACGUUUGGCGAACGGGUGUGAGACACGCGAGUAACCCGUCCCUGUCUUUGGGAUAUAUCUAGGAAACUGGGGCUCUUAUCCGAUAUGAUCUCUUGAUGCACGUUGGUGGAUGGUAAGUUUCGGCUGUUCGGUCUGUAGUCGCGGCUUACCCGCUUGUUGGUGGAGUAGUGGCUUACCAAGGUUUUGACGGGUAGCCGGCCUGAGAGGGUGACCGGCCACAUUGGGACUGAGAGACGGCCCAGACUCCUACGGGAGGCAGCAGUGGGGAAUAUUGCACAAUGGGCGGAAGCCUGAUGCAGCAACGCCGCGUGCGGGAUGACGGCCUUCGGGUUGUAAACCGCUUUCGCCUGUGACGAAGCGUGAGUGACGGUAAUGGGUAAAGAAGCACCGGCUAACUACGUG